UCCAUGGAUUUCUGCUCUUAUAUGUAUUUUCUAUUUUCUCUCUUGUACAGCUAUUCUGUUACUAGUUUUUGAGUUGGAAACUUAGAUGACUGGUUUUUAGCCUUUCUUCUUUCCUAACAUAUGCAUUCCAGGCUCUACAUUCCCCUCGAAAUGCUGCUUGAGCUGAAUUAUUACCAGUCGGGUCCUUCUCCUGCCCACGUGAAGGAAGAAGGCGCAGUGGGGCUGAGGCCUCACUAGGGCACCCACACGGAGCGCUGCGCUCAGCCUUCUGGACCCGGUACCUCCCCAGGCUCUGAGGACAGCAGCAGCCCCAGGACGGACGGAGUUCUUCGGGCUGGGAAGUCCAAGAUCAAGGCACUACCAUGUGAUGCAGGCAGAAGGUGGAAGGACAAAAGGGAAGAAACCUCAUGUCCCCACAUGGUGGAAAAGCAGAAGUGCAAGAGAGAACCAGGAUCUUACUUUGUCACCCAGGCUGGAAUGCAGUGGCCCAAUCAUGGCUUACUGCAGCCUCGACCUCCUGCACUCAAGCGAUCCUCCCACCUCAGCGUCUGGAGUAGCUGGGACCACAGGCGUGUGCCAUCACACCUUACAAAUUUUUGUGUAUUUUGUACAGAUGGGGCUUCACCAUGUUGCUCAGGCUGGUCUCAAACUCCUGGGCUAAAACAAUCUGUCUGCCUCAGCCUUCCAAAGUGCUGAGAUUACAGGCAUGAGCCACAGUGCCUGGCCAAAGUAUUUCUUUAUACAUGUGUCUUUAUGUGUAUGAUUAUUUAUAUACCUAUAUAUAUAAUACUGACAACUGUUAAAGAUACCAAAAAGCACAAAGACGAGUAAAAAGAGUGAAUAUAACACAACAAAUGCCAACUCAGAGAGAACAAGUGUUAACAUUUUGUCCUGCUUGUUUCCAGGGUUUUAAAAAACUAAGUAAAUAAAACAUUCAAAUUCUUCUGAUCCCAUUCCCAUACCUCCCUUCCUCCACUGGGAGAACCAAUAUCAUGAUUUGGUGUGGAUCUUUCUUAUCAUUUUGUCACUUUGUAUACAUUUGCCUGUCUCUUUAUCUGUUUAUCUACCUACCUAUCUAUCUGCCUAUCAUCUAUCUAUCUGAUCAUUCUCUGUAUAUUUCUAAUUCUGCAGAAAGAAGGAACAGAAGGAGCUCUUGCUUGAGUAAGGCACUGGUCAUGCCUCAAUUAGAACCCAUGCAGGUUACUCAACUCUGCAGAGAGGGACAGAAGGGUCUUCUACCAACCCAGCAUCUGCACCCCUGAAGUCAGACAUGGCUGUGGUCGCUUUUGGGUUUUGACCUGUUAGCAAUGUUUUCAAAAAGGACCAAGAGAAUGCAGGCAUACAAGCACUUUGUGGAUGGUGGGCCCUGUGCAGAUUUGGCCUGUCACAAACCCUGCUUCAUACACAUCCUCAUAGCAAUCACAGCAGUGAAAACUGGGAAGACUCGCCCAGGUGCCCGCUCCCCACUGGCCCGCCCUUACUCCCUCCACCUCUCCACAGCAACUCAUCCUUUGGACCACCCAAACCUGUCAGAAGAGUGUCUCCGUCUCCAUUUUUGACUUUCCAGAGAGGUCUGAAGCCACCUCCACACAGUGAGGUGGCAGACUUGUGGACAGGUCCUGAAGCCAUACCAGGAGCUGACCAGCCCCAGAAAAUGAGGACAUGGCUGCAGGGAUAGAAAGCCAAACUGUGGGUCAAGGGGACUUCAGCCUGUCCAUCUGGGGGCACGCUUAAAGGUCUAUGAUGGGGCCAAAAAGAAAGGUGCAGGCUAAGGACAGAAGGACAGCUCAGCCUGAACAGCCCCAUCCUGCAGCCCACCCCAGCCCUGAGCCUCUGGAACUCUAUCACUGCAUCCUGGGGCACCUGCCCCCCAAGCCCCCACCCCAGGAAGAGUAUCUAUGCUGUCAGAGGCUGCAGACGGUGCCAGCAGAAGGUGGAGAGGAAGCUUGGGGCCUUUGGUGGGUGGGACGCAUCAACACACACAGCCGCAGCAGCUGCACAUAGAUCAACAGGCCAUCCGUGCCUCGAACACCUACAUCAACGGCCAAGGCCUUGGCCACCCUGCCCAGCUCCGUGCACCGCUAGUUGCCUUGGUGGAUCACAGCCGCUCCACGCUCCACAGGAAGAAUCCCAAACCCGGUGACCGGCUGCCCCAGCAUUCCAAGUACCUGCUGCUGAUACCUCUACCCUUGGUUAGACACAAUUCCAGCAGGGCAGGACCACUUGCCCUGAGGAGAAGAGCCCAGGGACUCGUCACAGGCAGGGAACCACUGCCUCUUCUAUCCUGCCUGGAGCAUAACGGCGGUCCAAUGAGUAGACAGGUGGACUCACCACUCAGGUAAGUGCUUCCCGGGGCAGCAGGAGGUGCCUCAAUAAUGGCAUUUUGCCCUUGUGCCUUCAGUCACACCCGUCUGCUCUGCCCAGGCAUAAAGCUGAUACAUGGGAAUGGUGUGUGCCAUGGCAAUGAAGAUCAUCAUUAUGACCAUGGUGCCCGCAUGCCAGGACUCUGCGGCCUGGAACUACAAGUCCAGUCUGAUUCACAGGAGCAUCCACAUUCUGACGCCUCUUAGCCCCCACCUGAUCACAGAGGCUCUUAGGGUCUUGCAGAGUUUCCCUUCAGCACCUGCGCUGAGGGAGACUCUGGAAUCUCACCGGCCCAAGAAUCAGUCCUUGUGGCUGCUCUGGCAGUGGGUUGCUGGUCAGGUGCAAAGGUAUUGCCCGUGCUGACGGCUGGGCACUGAUCCCACACUCGCCACCCUCCACAGCUCCCAGGGAAGCUGCAGCUGGCUGGGUGGAGCCCUCUUGACCUCAGGUGGCCUGGAGUGCUGCCAUCGCCAUGGGGGACGCUCUUACUACCGGCUGGGCUGGGUCUCUGAGCCUGGGUCUCCACUGACAGCAGCCUCCACAGCUGUCCCUGCAUGGUUUCAGAUCUCUGCCAGUCUCUGUAGGGAAUGAUGCUUAUGCCAAGAGGGAGGGAAGCAGCUCUUUUAUCCCUGGAGGGUGGUGGGGGGUACACAGGAACGUUCUUUGAGUUCUGCAGGAUUCUACCUUUCUCCUCCACCCUCCACCCAGACGAUCAUCUUCCCAAAGCACGUUCGUGCUGCUGUGGUAGGCUGGGUUGGGGUCGGGUUGAGGAUCAGCCUCCCAGAGUUUCUGAAACCCCAAAGUCACUUAGGCCCUAAGAGUGGGGAGACGAAUGUGGAUUGUAACAGGAGAUACCUUUGUCCGGUAAAGUAAGUGUUCUCUUUGGUUCCAUGCUGUUUCUUCUUACAAUGGCUUGUAUCAGGGAUGCCCAGGGUAUCAGUUGUCUCUGAACUGUGACUAUUAACAAAGUUCAAAUUCUUUGAACAGCCCCCACACAGUUCAGCAGGUACAGACCUUAUGGGAGAGGAGGGGCCUUGUGGACAUAGUUAUUCUGUUUGGCUGUUCAGCAUCUGAGCCUUGUUCCUCUAUCUAAGGAAUUCCCCAUCUCAUAAGCAGGUAGGAGGCAGAGCUCAGUUCUGCAUAAUACCCCACCAUGGGCACCUUGUUACAUUUUACCACUCCAUUCUCCCCGCAAUGGGCACUCAGGUGAUCUUCAACUCCCUGCCACCAUAAAAAACAAGCAGUGAUAACAUCUUCAUAUGUGCUCCCUAUGGGUCCGCAUGAGAACUUCCCUGGGGUAUUAUGCAGAGACUAGACGCCUUGAAUUAGAUGUCACACUGCAACGUGGUUGGGUGUUAAAAAUAUAAAAAGGAGGAAACAGAAUAAGACCUAUCAUGUGGUAGCUUUCAAACAGGUUUUUUAAAUGUAUGCAAAUAAAUCAACAGUACACAUUUGCAAGAACACAUUCAAAUAAAGUUGCCCAUUAACAUGGUAAAAUAGCUACCUGUGGAGGAAGGGGAAUGAGAAUAGGGACUAGAGAUAAAAGAGAAGUCAGUCAAUACAAUAAUGAAAUGGCUUUGUGCAACCCAAGAAUAAUUAUACAUCGUGGGUAUAGAAACUGGAAUAAUUCAAACCCCUUCCACCCAGGCGAACAAAUGAAACAAACAAAAACAACAGGUACAUGAUAUGUACAUAACAUCUCGAUUCUAUAAGAUGGAGUGUGAGAAAUGGCCACAUGAGACAAGGCAGGGAGAGACCCUGCCUGUGUUAGGAGAAUCAGAGCAGGCUUAACAAAGAGGCAUCAUGUUUGAGUUAAUGUAAUGAUCUAAGAACAGGCCUUUUCCAGGUGGCUCACAUCGGAGAGGUCUACUCAAAGAGGAAUUUGUCCACCCACUUAUAGAGACCUUGGGACCAAAUCCAUAUCUGAUUACCACUGGGAAGCCCAGUCAUCAGAGAUGCCUUCAUACAUGGGUGGAUGGUCAUGGAGACAGGAAGAUGGCCUCGAAGCUGGGCCCAGUGGCAUGGGCUAGGUCAUAGGCCAUAGGGAGUGGCUGGUUAUAAAUUGCUCUCUGUAUUAUAAUGCAUUAUUUAGUCCCCUUAUAAAACUCAACUGUGGGUGAAUAAAAGGAAGGAUCUAAGUUCAGCCAGGAAAGAAGUGGUACCAAGGGGCAUUAGAGAUUCCCUGCCAACUGUUUCCAGUAAUGGUAGACUAAGGGAUAAAUCACCAUUACUUCUAAAGACAGCUACAAAAGUUAGAGGAGAUAUCAAACUAUCUUCUUAAUAGCACUGCAGGCCUCAUUAAUAGAGCCGAACAGGGAGGGGUAAGAGCCUAAACUGGUUACUUGGGAUGUGUUCACUUCCUGGGAGAAGGCAGCUGACAUGCCAAGGUCCUUGGGUGAGUGUGAGGGGUCAUAUUGCAUUACAUAGUGUCCUGGAGAUGUGCAAGUCACUUGUACCCCACUGAUAUGUUUACCCUGGGCUGUCUGCCAAUCCUCAGAACCAUGUGAGGUGAGCAGGGUGAACAGUACUUUUGGGGGGCUCCCUAGAGCUGGAGGAACAGUUGGUGUCUACUGUUAGUAAAGAAGGAAACUUAGUAUGAGCCCACUAUGUGCUCUGAGUAGUGGCCCCAAAGGGCUGCAUCUGGAAAAGGGGGUGGGUACUGGCCCUGUGGACAUACAGAACAGCCUCAAGCCUUAUUCCCGGACUGCUAGUUCCCUCAGGUGUUGGAAAAAAGGAAAAAAAAAAUCCUCUUUGGAAGAGGAUCCUAGAUUUCAAAUUAACUCUCAAAAGAGCCAUUUCAAAUAAAUUGUCCAGAAAGCACAGAGGCACAAGAGCUACAUGAGACAAAACACCACAAGUCAGAAUCAACAGAAACUGUGGACCAUAGAAAUAGACCCACCGGAUCCCAGAUAUUAGAAUAACUCGAUACAACCUGUAAUGAAACCGUGCUUACUGUGUUCAUGGAGAUAAAAAUUGAAUUUAAAAUUUUAUGUAAGGAUAUAAAAAUUUUGAAAGCAACGGUGAAGAUUUUAAAAAGAACCAUUUGAUAUUAUAGAACUGAAAAGUAUGAUAACUCAAUAAAGAACUCUAUAGAAGAGUUAAGAGCUAAUAAUUGGUGGAAAGGAAGAUAAGUCAGAAGAAACUAUCCAGAAUGAAGUCCAGAGAGGCAUAAAGAUGGAAAAUACAGAUAAGAAGAUAAAUAAAAUAGAAGACACAGGGAGAUAAUCCAAUAUACGUUUAAUUGGAGUUCUAGAAGAGAGGAGAGAGAGAAUGGAGCAGAGGCAAUAUUUGAAGAGAUAAUGGCUGAGAAUUUUCCAAAAUUGAUGAAAUAACACAAUCCACUGAUUCAGGAAACCAAAGGAGAGAUUCCUACAAGAACUAGGAAGCUUCAGGAACCAGGCAUUUGUUAAAGCAUAAAUGUCUCCUGUGGAAGUUCCCUUUUCAUGACAAGGGAAGAAAGCACUUGAGGGAGCCGGUGGGUUUCUUUGCAGAAGAGUUUUUGGUUUUGUUGUUUGCUUGUUUUUGAAGAUAGGAGAGAUUUGAUUAUGUUGAAAAGCUGAGAGAAUAAACCAAUUGAGAGGGAGAGGCUGAAGCCACAGGAGAGAGGAGGAGUAAUUCAUGAAGCAUGAAGAAGUUUUUAGAGGGCACAGGGACCGAAACUAUGAAAAUAAUAACAGCUAUCCUUUACUGAGCAUUACAUGUCAGAGCUCUCUCAGGAAAUUGGUCACACAUUGAUACUAAUUCUUAUAAUCGUUAACGAUGAGUAUUUCUAUUCAAAUAUCCUUAUGUUAAUUGAUGUUCUAAAGAGAGAGAGAGAAAAAAUCUUGGUCAUAUAGCUAGUAAGUGGUGGCAGUGGGAUCAAAAUCUGGUCUGACUUACUCCAAAGCCUGUGCCCUUUCCACUCUACCAGCUGCUUCCAGAGCUCCAGCUGGCCUCCUCUUUGUCUGAGAUAGGAUGCAAGGAAGAGAGGAUGAGUGUGGAAGUGAAGAUGUUUGGAGAUAUUGUAGAAUACAGGAAGUUGAAGUAAUUCAGGCUGGAGGCUAGGUCAUUCCCAGGAAAAUGUAAGGGAUUCUACCUGCAGAGUUCGAAGGAUGUGGGAAUUCAACAGAGGAGCUACCAAGGAAGGGCCGACCAGGGGAGAGGGAGAGGAAAGUAGCCAAGGUGAGGCGAGCCAAGUGCCCAAACCAUCAAUGGCAGCAUGUAGCGGUGCUCCAGAGGCAGAGAGAGGAGAUCAAGAAACGUGGGGCGGAGAGGAGAGGGGAAGAGUUUGAGAAGAAACAGAAUACGUCACAGUCUCAAAGCAUCUCCCCCCAAAUAUUUAUUAAUUACAAAGGGAAAACUAGUCAUUUUACAGUGGGGAAACCAGCAGACAUCACUAUAACAAAGUGAUCUCAAAAUAUUGUUUAUUAAAAGAGACAAUGAGACGAAGCUCCUGGCAAGGAAUAAGUGACUAAACCAUGGCUGUUCUGUGGUCUUUGCAGUAAUAACAAUAUCCUAAAUGACCUGCGGCCAAAAGAUCUCCCCACCUCAUCCCACCUCAGUGCCAGGUUCAUCUGUGCUAAUGUAUCACCGAGUCCUAAAGGAUGACUGAGUCGUCCUUGGGUAACACGUGGUUAACGCGUGUGCAUUUGACAGGGGUCUUCUGUAAUAAUGGGGUGAUUCUCACGCGUGGGCGGGAUUCAGGCACGGCAGCAGCAUUGGGAGAAGUGCUUUGGGGCUGGGGUGAGAGGAGUUUGGGAUCUCCACGGGUACUAGGUGCCCCCGCUGUCCUCUAUGGUUGGGCUCUUGCGUGCGGCGGCAGAUCCCGGGCGGCGCUUCGGCAGAUCCUGGAUGGCGCUUCGGCAGAUCCUGGAUGGCGCUUCGGCAGAUCCCGGACGGCGCUUCGGCAGAUCCUGGACGGCGCUUCGGCGGGGCUGGCCUCCCGCACACACUCGGGUCUCCAGAGUCGGGUGUGCGCGUUGGGGACGCUUCGUCCUGCAGUUGAACGCCCUGAAGCGGGAGAAUCAGCGGCCUCCCCGACCCUGACUGCGCUGUAGGGUCUAUGAGCUCCUCUGCAGCGCCCGACCUCCUUCGCCAGCAGCCCCAGCCCCCUGCGCAGAACCAGUCUACGCGGACGCCGGAGUCCCCCUGGGCUGCUGGAGAGCCCGAAAGCUCCCGGGGCCGUGUCUUCUGGGAAACGCGCCAAUGCCCUCUAGUGGGCGAGCUUUGAACUUCCCUGAGGCCCUACACUGACCUGAGCAGGGGAAUUAAAUCUCCGGAGCGUCACCCGUGUCUUGCCGAGAGCGGGGCGCAGUGCAGCCCUGGAAGGGCGGAGAGAGUGAGGAUGGUGCACACCCGAACCAGCUGGGUCGAGUCAGCCCCCUCCCAGGAGGGCGGCGUGGUCUCCUCCUGCCUCAUCGUCCCCCUCCCCGUCCUUCACUCCUCCCAGCUAGAAUUGGCACCAUCCACUCUUCACUCUCCUUGAGCGAAAAGAAGGGAGACUUGAACACAUCUAUGCGCCAGGCAGCUUCACUUCUUCAUCUGGAAGCUAUUUCUAAAAAGGAUUUGAAGUGAUCACAAAGGCUUACAAGGGAACUAAAGAAAGAUGGGGAAACAAAGACGCACGGGCUAGCACUGAAAAUGUCUUAAGACCCUGAACGGUCACUAGACCCGGAGUAGAGAUAGGACGUUAAACUUCCAAACCCUUAGAGCGUUAAGAAAGACGAGACCGGGAAAACUCCAACAGUCCUUCAGGAAUCAGGAACAAAAGACCAAGGCAAGGGGAAGCAAAAGAGGAAGGGGCAGGGAAGCCAUGGUAACUAAAAAUAGAAAGGAAGGACAAAAGGAGAAACCACAGAACAGAGCAAAAUUACUGCAGACGGAUUAAACUCCCCUAUUAAAAAAAAAAAAGUAAAAAGCCUAAAACGGCCUAUCUACCUAGCUUCUAAGAUACAUAGCUGUAACAAAGUGACAUUUAGAGUUUCAAAAUAAAGAGGUCAGUGAGGAUAUACCAGGAAAGGGCUAACAUCUGUACAUCCCUCCAGUUGGGGGCCUAACUCUAAAAUACAGCUCACUUCCACCCGUGUGUCUUCUUCGCCCCGGUGCCACUUCCUAAGGCACACCACAGUGACUUCCCACCUGUCCCAUAGCUAUAGCUUUCUAAUUGGCGUCCUUAGCCCCCCUUGCCUUCCUCCCUACAAAGCACAUAUAAUAUUCUUUCAAAAACAUAAAUAAGAAGCUGGGCGUGGUGGCUCACGCCUGUAAUCCUAGCACUUUGGGAGGCCAAGGUGGGUGGAUCACCGGAGGUCAAGGGUUCGAGACUAUCCUGGCGAACACGGUGAAACCCCAUCUCCACCAAAAAAUACAAAAAAUUAGGUAAGUGUGGUGGCAGGCACCUGUAAUCGCAGCUACUCGGGAGGCUGAGGCAGGAGAACCGCUUGAACCUGGGAGGUAGAGGUUGCAGUAAGCCAAGAUCCUGCCACUGCACUCCAGCCUCGGCGACAGAGCCAGACUCCAUCUCAAAAAAAAAAAAAAAAAAAAAAA